rnacentral:lncRNA from 1 species
CAUUCAGUUUGAAGGGUUUUGGAGACAAUGUGAAGAAGGAGAGCUUGCUCUGCCGUUGGGAGGUCGGCUGAGGAAGAAGGUCAGCUGGGUGCUUUCUCUGCCUCUCCGAGCUAGCAGGCUUUCACACCAGCAUCUGGUAAAUUGAACAGUUGAGAUUUUGUUAACAACCUUUCCUCACUCCUGAGCCCCACAGGGCUCCAGGAACUGCUCUCCUUCUCCACCCUCGGGGUUAGCCACGGGAAGCUUCCCAGGGUUCCUUUCGGCAGUUCUCCGUCCCUCAGCUGUGCCUCAGGAGACCAACAGAAAACAAAAUGUAGUUUCUGCUAGGACUCUACAUGAUGCAAUGCAGGAAAAAAAAGUUUACAAUAUAAGGUGAAGUGACAGAAUCAGGCUAGAACAAUCUCAGCCUGCAUACAAAUAAAUAUAUUUAGAAAAAAGAAAACAUUUGUGCACAGAGAGAGGAAAGACUAGAAAGAAACAUGGGAGGAUCUGUCACAGUGUCUGGGCUACAAGGUUACAGGUGAUUUUUCUCGUCUCUAUACAACUCUAUAUUGUACACUUUGUGUAUUUGUUUAUUUUGAGACGUGAUCUUGCUAUGUAGCCCAGGCUGGCCUAGAACUUGUCAAUCUUCUUCUACUUAGAUUCUAGUCUAUUGUGCACAUUCUUAGAAGUAACCAUGUAUCACCUUUAAAGUGGAAUAUAUAUAUAUAUAUAUAUAUAUAUAUAUAUAUAUAUAUAUAUUUAAACAAAACUGAAAGUGAAAUUGGUUUUUUUGUAAAUAAUAGAUCAUAGAUUUUUUUUAGUGAAUAUAUGAUAAUAUAUCAUAGUAUAUAGGAUAUUGUAGUAUAGAAAGAAAUAUAAGUAUUUUUUGCUGAGCCUUAACUAUUAUCAUUUACAUCUCACCCAUUACUGGGACUGCUCCUUAAGCCUGCCCAGUGCCUAAUAUAACUUCUGUGGGGCAGCCUUUUCAGAGGCUUCACUUCUUUCAGCUCUGGCUUUGGCCUGGUGCUCAGCUGUGCCUGGUGGUCAGGGAGGGGAGAAGGGAGAAGGGGCCUCAGUGCAGCCGAUAGGUCAGUCUGAGCAAGCCAGUAGUGUGUUGACAACUCUCUGGAGUAUAUCCUUGGCUAUCACUUUAUGCUAGUUGGUGGAUAUACUAAGUGAUCUUAGGUCUCUAUUAGCAAAUAUCAUGUCACUGUGCUUGGAAUCAGAAACCUGCUACAAAUACCGAACAGCAGUUAACUUAUUAAAAUUAACAUUCAGACUUAU